UUCGCAAUGCCCGAAAGGGUGACGAAGCGACGCCGCGUGUGGGAAGAAGGCCUUCGGGUUGUAAACCACUGUCGGGAGUUAAGAAAUGUAAGGGUGUUAAUAGUAUCCUUACUUGACUAAGGCUCCGGAGGAAGCCACGGCUAACUCUGUGCCAGCAGCCGCGGUAAUACAGAGGCGGCAAGCGUUGUUCGGAAUUAUUGGGCGUAAAGAGCACGUAGGCGGCUAUGUAAGUCGGUUGUGAAAGCCUUCCGCUCAACGGAAGAACAGCAGUCGAUACUGCAUGGCUUGAGUGCGGGAGGGGAGAGCGGAACUUCUGGUGGAGCGGUGAAAUGCGUAGAUAUCAGAAGGAACGCCGGCGGCGAAAGCGACUCUCUGGCCCGUAACUGACGCUGAGGUGCGAAAGCUAGGGGAGCAAACGGGAUUAGAUACCCCGGUAGUCCUAGCCGUAAACGAUGGGCACUAAGUAGAGGGGUUUUA
rnacentral:rRNA from 1 species